rnacentral:tRNA from 1 species
GCUCGGUUCAGUGCAGUAGUUAGCAUCCUCUGACUGUUGCGCCGAGGGUCGUGGGUUCGAUUCCCACACCGGACA